rnacentral:rRNA from 1 species
GGGUUGUGAGGUUAAGCGACUAAGCGUACACGGUGGAUGCCCUGGCAGUCAGAGGCGAUGAAGGACGUGCUAAUCUGCGAUAAGCGUCGGUAAGGUGAUAUGAACCGUUAUAACCGGCGAUUUCCGAAUGGGGAAACCCAGUGUGUUUCGACACACUAUCAUUAACUGAAUCCAUAGGUUAAUGAGGCGAACCGGGGGAACUGAAACAUCUAAGUACCCCGAGGAAAAGAAAUCAACCGAGAUUCCCCCAGUAGCGGCGAGCGAACGGGGAGGAGCCCAGAGCCUGAAUCAGUGUGUGUGUUAGUGGAAGCGUCUGGAAAGGCGCGCGAUACAGGGUGACAGCCCCGUACACAAAAAUGCACAUGCUGUGAGCUCGAUGAGUAGGGCGGGACACGUGGUAUCCUGUCUGAAUAUGGGGGGACCAUCCUCCAAGGCUAAAUACUCCUGACUGACCGAUAGUGAACCAGUACCGUGAGGGAAAGGCGAAAAGAACCCCGGCGAGGGGAGUGAAAAAGAACCUGAAACCGUGUACGUACAAGCAGUGGGAGCACAGAGCAAUCUGUGUGACUGCGUACCUUUUGUAUAAUGGGUCAGCGACUUAUAUUCUGUAGCAAGGUUAACCGAAUAGGGGAGCCGAAGGGAAACCGAGUCUUAACUGGGCGUUAAGUUGCAGGGUAUAGACCCGAAACCCGGUGAUCUAGCCAUGGGCAGGUUGAAGGUUGGGUAACACUAACUGGAGGACCGAACCGACUAAUGUUGAAAAAUUAGCGGAUGACUUGUGGCUGGGGGUGAAAGGCCAAUCAAACCGGGAGAUAGCUGGUUCUCCCCGAAAGCUAUUUAGGUAGCGCCUCGUGAAUUCAUCUCCGGGGGUAGAGCACUGUUUCGGCAAGGGGGUCAUCCCGACUUACCAACCCGAUGCAAACUGCGAAUACCGGAGAAUGUUAUCACGGGAGACACACGGCGGGUGCUAACGUCCGUCGUGAAGAGGGAAACAACCCAGACCGCCAGCUAAGGUCCCAAAGUCAUGGUUAAGUGGGAAACGAUGUGGGAAGGCCCAGACAGCCAGGAUGUUGGCUUAGAAGCAGCCAUCAUUUAAAGAAAGCGUAAUAGCUCACUGGUCGAGUCGGCCUGCGCGGAAGAUGUAACGGGGCUAAACCAUGCACCGAAGCUGCGGCAGCGACGCUGAUGCGUUGUUGGGUAGGGGAGCGUUCUGUAAGCCUGUGAAGGUGUGCUGUGAGGCAUGCUGGAGGUAUCAGAAGUGCGAAUGCUGACAUAAGUAACGAUAAAGCGGGUGAAAAGCCCGCUCGCCGGAAGACCAAGGGUUCCUGUCCAACGUUAAUCGGGGCAGGGUGAGUCGACCCCUAAGGCGAGGCCGAAAGGCGUAGUCGAUGGGAAACAGGUUAAUAUUCCUGUACUUGGUGUUACUGCGAAGGGGGGACGGAGAAGGCUAUGUUGGCCGGGCGACGGUUGUCCCGGUUUAAGCGUGUAGGCUGGUUUUCCAGGCAAAUCCGGAAAACUAAGGCUGAGGCGUGAUGACGAGGCACUACGGUGCUGAAGCAACAAAUGCCCUGCUUCCAGGAAAAGCCUCUAAGCAUCAGGUAACAUCAAAUCGUACCCCAAACCGACACAGGUGGUCAGGUAGAGAAUACCAAGGCGCUUGAGAGAACUCGGGUGAAGGAACUAGGCAAAAUGGUGCCGUAACUUCGGGAGAAGGCACGCUGAUAUGUAGGUGAAGUCCCUCGCGGAUGGAGCUGAAAUCAGUCGAAGAUACCAGCUGGCUGCAACUGUUUAUUAAAAACACAGCACUGUGCAAACACGAAAGUGGACGUAUACGGUGUGACGCCUGCCCGGUGCCGGAAGGUUAAUUGAUGGGGUCAGCGCAAGCGAAGCUCUUGAUCGAAGCCCCGGUAAACGGCGGCCGUAACUAUAACGGUCCUAAGGUAGCGAAAUUCCUUGUCGGGUAAGUUCCGACCUGCACGAAUGGCGUAAUGAUGGCCAGGCUGUCUCCACCCGAGACUCAGUGAAAUUGAACUCGCUGUGAAGAUGCAGUGUACCCGCGGCAAGACGGAAAGACCCCGUGAACCUUUACUAUAGCUUGACACUGAACAUUGAGCCUUGAUGUGUAGGAUAGGUGGGAGGCUUUGAAGUGUGGACGCCAGUCUGCAUGGAGCCGACCUUGAAAUACCACCCUUUAAUGUUUGAUGUUCUAACGUUGACCCGUAAUCCGGGUUGCGGACAGUGUCUGGUGGGUAGUUUGACUGGGGCGGUCUCCUCCUAAAGAGUAACGGAGGAGCACGAAGGUUGGCUAAUCCUGGUCGGACAUCAGGAGGUUAGUGCAAUGGCAUAAGCCAGCUUGACUGCGAGCGUGACGGCGCGAGCAGGUGCGAAAGCAGGUCAUAGUGAUCCGGUGGUUCUGAAUGGAAGGGCCAUCGCUCAACGGAUAAAAGGUACUCCGGGGAUAACAGGCUGAUACCGCCCAAGAGUUCAUAUCGACGGCGGUGUUUGGCACCUCGAUGUCGGCUCAUCACAUCCUGGGGCUGAAGUAGGUCCCAAGGGUAUGGCUGUUCGCCAUUUAAAGUGGUACGCGAGCUGGGUUUAGAACGUCGUGAGACAGUUCGGUCCCUAUCUGCCGUGGGCGCUGGAGAACUGAGGGGGGCUGCUCCUAGUACGAGAGGACCGGAGUGGACGCAUCACUGGUGUUCGGGUUGUCAUGCCAAUGGCACUGCCCGGUAGCUAAAUGCGGAAGAGAUAAGUGCUGAAAGCAUCUAAGCACGAAACUUGCCCCGAGAUGAGUUCUCCCUGACUCCUUGAGAGUCCUGAAGGAACGUUGAAG